rnacentral:misc_RNA from 1 species
CUCAUUAGUAGUUCAACCCAAGGUAACCCCCAGUUGAUGGAUGUCUUGCCUGUAGUAUUGACCAGUGCCGAUGGGAAACAGGGAUUACAUGUUACUGGAAGCCGGGGACUGUACACUGGAUCAAGCGAUGUGAAUGCUAUCGCUAAUAGCAUGGCCACCAUUGGCUUGGUUUCAUUGUCUGAGGGCAUUGCAAGAGAUGGUAACACAGAGGUACUUGGCAGUUGUGGCCAUUUUAAUCCUGUGUCUGGAGAUGGACCUAGUUGCCUGGAUGGGUCAUGUUCUGAUGAUGAUAAUACACGGCAUCCGAUUAUGAAAGAAGGGAGCAGUUGAUGAAGUAAUCAUUUCGGGUCUUCCUUUUUCUUUGUAGAUCUAUUUUUGUUUCUGAAAAUGUGGAUAUAUGUAGCUGCUGCAGCCUUGGCUCUUUGAGAUGUAAUUAGCGCAAGUACCGUCACCUACCGUUUGUUAAUGUUUAUUCCUUCAUUUAUCAAGGUCUUGAUGGAAUGAACUUUGUGUUUUUGGCUGUGUAACAUGAAGAUGUAUUUGCUAAGAAUUUCCGCCUUUACCUGUUUGUUGGGUUUCGUAAUCGUUGAUUGGUUCAUUGUGUUUUUUUUUUUUUUUUUAAUCAAUUGUACACAAUUUUGAUUAAGCGUGAAGUCUUCUCCGCACUUACAAAAACAAUGAAUCAUGUUUAGUCUUCCAUUCAGGUGGCG